rnacentral:tmRNA from 1 species
GGGGGCGACCUUGGUUUCGACGGGGGUUGCGAAGCAGAUGCGGGCAUACCGGGGUCUCAGAUUCCCGUAAAACACUGAAUUCAAAUAGUCGCAAACGACGAAACUUACGCUUUAGCCGCUUAAGGCUAGCCGUUGCAGCAGUCGGUCAAUGGGCUGUGUGGCGAAAGCCACCGCAACGUCAUCUUACAUUGACUGGUUUCCUACCGGGUUACUUGGCAGGAAAUAAGACUUAAGGUAACUGGUUUCCAAAAGGCCUGUUGGUCGGCAUGAUGGAAAUAAGAUUUUCAAAUAGACACAACUAAGUAUGUAGAACGCUUUGUAGAGGACUUUCGGACGGGGGUUCGAUUCCCCCCCGCCUCCACCA